GCCUCUCUAGCUCAGCUGGUAGCAGCACCCACUUCGUAAGCGGGCGGUCGUCGGUUCGAGUCCGACGGGAGGCU
rnacentral:tRNA from 1 species